CGCGAGCCGCCCACGGGAAAACAACGGGGAUCUGUUGAAGAUCUGGAGGUGGGACUCGGGUGGAGAAAGUUACAAAUCUGUGCAGUGCGCAUGUCCGCCAUCACCCCCUUGGCUGCGCGGUCCCGGAGCGAGUGCGAGUGCGCAUGCGGAUAACCCACUACCGAGCAUGCGCGGUUCCCAGAGAAGAAGUGUUCGUUGGUGAUGUUCAGAAUUUUCUUUAGAUUCCGGAAGAAGGGCUCAUGCCCGAAACGUCGAUUCUCCUACUCCUUGGAUGCUGCCUGACCUGCUGCGCUUUUCCAGCAACACAUUUUCAACUGUGUAUAAAAAUAGUCUGUUUUUGACAGUAGGACAGAGUAGCUGGUCAGGACUCCUGAAAAAAGUGAUUUCAGGAAAAGGGGUUCAUUAAAAUAAAACUGAUCAGACGGUGUGUGACUCCCGCCAUUGUGAUCAGACAGUGUGUGACCACCCUCUCCCCCCACCACACAGUGAGACCAGACAAUGGGUGACCUGUGGGAGGAUGGAGCCCCAGCCCUGCUCAAUGAAUUCAGACAGUAUGUGACAUAGGUAACUACAAUGACUGCAGAUGCUAGGGCAGGUUGGGUAGAGAGUACCAUGUCACCAUAAAAUGGUUACUCUACAGAUUGAGACUAUUCAGUGGAUUUUGUCUGGGAUAUCACACCCGCAGUCAUUUCAAAUCCCAAUGCAGCACUGGCAUGUGACAAUCAUUGUUACGAUCAUUGCACUUCCAGUGCUGAUCCAAGAUCCGUUUAAACAAGUUGAGGUUCUCUUCCACCAAACUGGUCAGCAGCUUCCAGAUCACCACCAUCCACGAGGUGAAAAUGGUUUCACUGCAUGUCACCUUCAGAUAGGCAUUUCUUUUCUGGCAAUUUUCCGGAAACACGGGUUGUUGAGUCGGGGAUCCCAGGAGAAUGAAAUUCCACUUCACACCGUCAACUGUUGUAACAUUUCCUGACCUGCCCUAAUUUGAUCUCCCAGUGAAUUGUAAUGUGAAAGAGCUGGAAUAGGAAAUCAACUGGGGACUGUCAGCAGCUGAACCAUCACAGGAUUGGGGAGAGCAGCAACCAGGGAGAGCUCAAAGCUUCCAUAGAUCGACUUGGGUGAAAAGUAGGAGAAAGUUCCACAUUGAAGGACACUGGCUUUGACCACGAGACUGUCAAGAACAUCAGAAUCUGGGAAUACCUAUCACCAGCAUUGCUGAAGGAUUCAACAGGGAAGAAGAUCCAGUGUCUCACAAAGCGUUAGAAUGGACACAGUCUCAACAAUAACAUGCUCACAGAUUCUUGUGCCGACGAUCUCAGCUCCAGUCUACGUACAGGUCGCUCACUGACUGUUGUGAACCUGAAUGAUAAUAAAUUGGGGGAUUCAGGAGUGAAACUGCUGCCAGCAGCUCUAAGGAACCCAAACUGUAAAAUACAGAAACUGGAUUUGUAUGACGUCGGUCUCACAGAUUUUUGUGCUCAGGAGCUGUCAGUAGAAACCAGUCAUUGAAAGUUCUAGAUCUGGGAUCCAAUUCCUUCUCAGACCAGUUCAUCCCCACUGUCAGCUCCCUCGUACAGACCUGCAGAGGUUUGGAGCUGAUUGGGCUGUGGGGAAAUGGUUUCAGUCCAAAUGGAAAGAGAUGUCUAAAGUCACUGCAGGACUCUCGAGCCGGACUGACUGUUUCAUUAGGUGACUCUUUCAAUCUCUAAAGAUUACUGCUGUCACUAUAUUUGGACAAUCCUCUCUCCUUCCCCUUCAAAAAACAAAUGAUCUGUAUGGACUUGCUGGCCCCUCUCUCCCUUGACAACAUUUUGCACCCUCUCUGAGACAUCCUUGAUCCUAACACCAAGGAAGCAGCACACCAUUCUGCUUUUUCGCUGCUGGUCACAGGAACGUCUGUCUGUACCUUGGAAUCCCCGAACACAAUUGCUCUCAUUGUCCAUGUUGGAACCAACGACAUAGGAAGGGAAAAGGUUGAGAUUCUGAAGGGAGAUUACAGGGAGUUAGGCAGAAAUUUGAAAAGGAGGUCCUCGAGAGUACGAAUAUCUGGAUUACACCCGGUGCUACGAGCUAGUGAGGGCAGGAAUAGGAGGAUAGAGCAGAUGAAUGCGUGGCUGAGGAGCAGGUGUAUGGGAGAAGGAUUCACAUUUUUGGAUCAUUGGAAUCUCUUUUGGGGUAGAAGUGACCUGUACACGAAGGACGGAUUGAUCCUAAAUUGGAAGGGGACUAACGUACUGGCAGGGAAAUUUGCUAGAGCUGCUCAGAAGGAUUUAAACUAGUAAGGUGGGGGGUGGGGGUGCCGUGUGGUGUGACCCAGGGAGAUAGUGAGGAAAGAGAUCAAUCUGAGACUGGUCCAGUUGAGAACAGAAGUGAGUCAAACAGUCAGGGCAGGCAGGGACAAGGUGGGCCUAAUAAAUUAAACUGCAUUUAUUUCAACACAAAGGGCUUAACAGGGAAGGCAGAUGAACUCAGAGCAUGGUUAGGAACAUGGGACUGGGAUAUCAUAGCAAUUACAGAAACAUGGCUCAGGGAUGGGCAGGACUGGCAGCUUAAUGUUCCAGGAUACAAAUGUUACAGGAAGGAUAGAAAGGGAGGCAAGCAGGGGGCUGGCAUUUUUGGCUCAGGGAUAGCAUUCCUGCUGUGCUGAGGGAGUAUAUUCCUGGAAAUACAUCCAGGGAAAUUAGUUAGGUGGAACUGAGAAAUAAGAAAGGGAUGAUAACCUAAUACUCAGAGGGAAAUUGAGAAACAAACUUGUAAGGAGAUCUCAGCUAUCUGUAAGAAUAAUAGGGUAGUUAUGGUAGGGGGUUUUAACUUUCCAAAUGUAGACUGGGACUGCCAUAGUAUUAAGAUGGAGAGGAAUUUGUUAAGUGUGUACCAGACAAUUUUCUGAUUCCGUCUGUGAUGUUCCGACUAGAGAAGGUGCAAAACUUGACGUACUCUUGGGAAGUAAGGCAGGGCAGGUGAAUGAAGUGUCAGUGGGGGAGCACUUUGGGGCCAGCAACCAUAAUUCUAUUAGAUUUAAAAUAGUGAUGGAAAAGGAUAGACCAGAUCUAAAAGUUGAAGUUCUAAAUUGGAGGAAGGCCAAUUUUGACGGUAUUAGGCAAGAACUUUGGAAAGCUGAAUUAGGGGCAGAUGAAGGGAUGGCUGGAAAAUGGGAAGCCUUCAGAAAUGAGAUAACGACAAUCCAGAGAAAAUAUAUUCCUGUUAGGGUGAAAGGAAAGCUGGUAGGUAUAGGGAAUGCUGGAUGACGAAAGAAAUUGAGGGUUUGGUUAAGAAAAAGAAGGUAUAUGUAAGGUAUAGACAGGAUAGAUCGAGUGAAUCCUUAGAAGAGUAUAAAGGAAGUAGGAGUAUACUUCAGAGCGAAAUCAGGAGGGCAAAAAGAGGACAUGAGAUAGCUUGGGCAAAUAGAAUUAAGGAGAAUCCAAAGAGUUUUUACAAAUACAUUAAGGCAAAAAGGGUAACUAGGGAGAGAAUUGGGUCCCUCAAAGAUCAGCAAGGCGCCCUUUGUGUGGAGCCGCAGAAAAUGGAGGAGAUACUAAAUGAAUAUUUUGCAUCAGUAUUUAGUGUGGAAAAGGAUAUGGAAGAUAAAGACUGCAAGGAAAUAGAUGGUGACAUCUUGCAAAAUGUCCAUAUUACAGAGGUGGAAGUGCUGGAUGUCUUGAAAAGGGUAAAGGUGGAUAAAUCCCCAGGACCUGAUCAGGUGUACCCUAGAACUCUGUGGGUAGAUAGAGAAGUGAUUGCUGGGCCUCCUGCUGUGAUAUUUGUAUCAUCAUUAGUCACAGGUGAGGUGCCGGAAGACUGGAGGUUGCAAAACAUGGUGCCACUGUUUAAGAAGGGUGGUAAGGACAAGCCAGGGAACUAUAGACCGGUGAGCCUGACGUCAGUGGUGGGCAUGUUGUUGGAAGGAAUUCUGAGGGACAGGAUGUACAUGUAUUUGGAAAGGCAAGGACUGAUUAGGGGUAGUCAACAUGGCUUUGUGCUUGGGAAAUCAUGUCUCUCAAACUUGAUUGGGUUUUUUGAGGAUUGAUGAGGGCAGAGCAGGAGAUGUGAUCGAUACGGACUUCAGUAAGGCAUUUGACAAGGUUCCCCAUGGGAGAUUGAUUAUCAAGGUUAGAUCUCACAGAAAACAGGGGGAACUAGCCAUUUGGAUACAGAACUGGCACAAAGGUAGAAGACAGAAAGUGAUGGUGGAGGGCUGAUUUUCAGACUUGGACGCCUGUGACCAAUGGAUCAGCCACAAGUAUCGGUGCUGGGUCCUGUACUUUUUGUCAUUUACAUAAAUGAUUUAGAUGCGAGCAUAAGAGGUACAGUCAGUAAGUUUGCAGAUAACACCAAAACUGGAGGCGUAGUGGACAGCAAAGAGGGUUACCUCAGAUUUAAAACAGGAACUGGACCAGAUGGGCCAAUGGGCUGGGAAGUGGCAGAUGGAGUUUAAUUCAGAUAAAUGUGAGGUGCUGCAUUUUGGGAAAACAAAUCUGAGCAGGACUUAUACACUUAAUGGUAAGGUUCUAGGGAGUGUUGCUGAACAAAGAGACCUUGGAGUGCAGAUUCAUAGCUCCUUGAAAGUGGAGUCGCAGGUAGAUAGCAUAGUGAAGAAGGUGUUUGGUAUGCUUUCCUUUAUUGCUCAGAGUAUUGAGUACAGGAGUUGGGAGGUCAUGUUGCGGCUGUACAGGACAUUGGUUAGGCCACUGUUGGAAUAUUGCAUGCAAUUCUGGUCUCCUUCCUAUCGGAAUGAUGUUGUGAAACUUGAAAGCAUUCAGAAGACAUUUACAAUGAUGUUGCCAGGGUUGGAGGAUUUGAGCUAUAGGGAGAGGCUGAACAGGCUGGGGCUGUUUUCCCUGGAGCAUUAAAGGCUGAGGGAUUACCUGAUAGAGGUUUACAAAAUUAUGAGGGGCAUGAGUAGGAUAAAUAGGCAAAGUCUUUUCCCUGGGGUCGGAGAGUCCAGAACUAGAUGGUAUAGGUUUAGGGUGAGAGAGGAAAGAUAUAAAAGAGACCUAAGGGGCAACUUUUUCACGCAGAGGGUGGUCCGUGGAUGGAAUGAGCUGCCAGAGGAUGUGGUGGAGGGUGGAACAAUUGCAAUAUUUCAGAGGCAUUUGGAUGGGUAUAUGAAUAGGAAGGGUUUGGAGGGGUAUGGGCCGGGUGCUGGCAGAUGGGAAUAGAUUGGGUUGGGAUAUCUGGUCGGGUUGGAUCGAAGGGUCUGUUUCCAUGUUGUACCUUUCUUUGACUCUAUGACCUCACUCAGGCAUUCGUCAAGGUUCCUCUUGGGAGACUGGUGAGCGAGGUUAGACCUCAUGGAAUACAGGAAGAACUAGCCAUUUGGACACAGAACUGGCUUGGAAGUAGAAGACAGAGGGUGGUGAUGGCGGCUUACCUUUCAGACUGGAGGCCUGUGAACAGUGGUGUGCUACAAGGAUCAACACUGGGUCCGCUGCUUUUUGUCAUUAUAUAAAUGAUCUCUAUGUGAAUGUAGGAGGUAUAGUUAGUAAGUUUCGGAUGACAACAAAGUUGGAGUGGACAGUGAAAAAGGCUACCUCAGAGGACAAUGGGAUCUUGAUCAGAUGGGCCAAUGGGCUGAGAUGUUCAGAUGGAAUUUAAUUUAGAUAAAUGCGAGGUGCUGCAUUUUGGAAAGGCAAAUCAGAGCAGGACCUCUCCACUUUAAUAGAAAGGUCCUGGGGUGUGUUGCUAAAUGAAGAGACCUUGGAGUGCAUGUUCAUAGUUCCUUGAAAGAGGAGUCAAAGGUAGAUAGGAUUCUGAAGAAGGCAUUUGGUAUGCUUUCCUUUAUUGUUCAGAGUAUUGAGUACAGGAGUUGGGAGGUCAUGUUGCAGCUAUACAGGAUAUUGGUGAGGCCAUUUUUGGAAUGUUGUAUGCAAUUCUGGUCUCCUUCUUAUUGGAAAGAUGUUGUGAAACUUGAAAGGGUUCAGAAAUGAUCUACAAGGAUGUUGCCAGGGUUGGAGGAUUUGAGCUAUAGGGAGAGGCUGAACAGACUGGGGCUGUUUUCCCUGGAGCAUCAGAGGCUGGGGCAGUGACCUUUAUAGAGGUUUAUAAAAUUAUAAGGAGCAUCGAUAGGAUAAAUAGACAAAAUCUUUUCAGGGGCUGCUGAGCUGGGAUAGAUAUCCAGUGUCAAAUAGGGACCAGCAUUCAUUGUCUGGGGUGUACGGUCUGGGUUCACCCAGGGAGAGGAUCAGAUUGAGUUAGAUCCAGGCUAUUGAGCACAAGAGAAAUCACUGAUUUUCUGCUUGCUCAAAGGAAGUUGCUGAAACCAUGUAUGUAAUAAACACUCUGCAUUAUUAAUGUGUCUGCCAUUCACUCACAGCCAGAAUAACUAGCAGAGAUUAAGGUUUGUCAAAUGACGCAGUUGAUCCAUGAUGCAUGUUGCUGCUCAACAUUAAACAGGUUUGAAAUGCUGAGUGAUGCAGCAGAAAUUAUAGGCUGAAUCUUUGGGGUUUGUGUUGAAUUAAGUCCAUGUUGAAUUGGGUUUCUGGCAGCGUAUCACUCAGUGAGGGCUAGUGAGAUCUCUUGCCACCCCUUAGCCCAACAUGCAUCAUUAACGAUACAGAUUGCAUCUUUUUCUUGUGUGAUUUCCGCCCUUCUGACCAUGUACUAUUCCUGGAACAGCUCACCACUAACUGCCCAAAGCCCAGCGUCCCUUGCAGCCACACUCCCUUUGAAAGGCGGCGGUACACCCCAGGGAAGAGUUGGUAAUCUGGCUUCGAGCCUCAGCAGCAACAGCCACAAAGAUACACUGCUCUUGUUACACAGUCAGCGUGGCUGACACUCCCCUUAGGGUACAACCCCAUUCUCUCACCGUAGUCACUGCUUAUCCAGUGUUCCCGACUGGAACUGGCCAGGCUUGCAGGGCCUGAUCCAACAGAGCUCCAUCCUGGACAAGCUGAGCUUCCUCACUGGGAGACUGCUCCGACCUGCCCCAGUUCCUCAGCGUCUAUCACAUCCCAGUCUGUCUGCUGCACAGCACAGCAAGGCCGGAUGCCUAUGCACAUUGUGGCAGCCAUAUUGGCUCCUCCUUUGGCUGUUGUCCACCUCUUUUCAUUCAUUCCCCCCCCCCCGGGUCUCCAUGUGUCCUGACCUAAUUGUGUUCCCUUCAGCCCCUUUCCCCAGUCCACGCUCAACUACAUUGGAGACUCACCGCAUGUUUGAAAACUGAGCUGAUUUUCUUUGAGGCAUAUAAACGUCUGACAAAGCUCAACAGGAUCGCUGCAGGAAGGAUGCUGCUCUUGGCUGGGGGGGGCCUCCAAAGCGCAGGAAGAUAGUAUCAGAAUGCGACGUUGGCCAUUUCAGACUGAGAGAAGAGACUGAGCGGGGAGAAGGCUGAAAUGUCAAUGUUAACCUGCUUCCUUUGUUGGUUCUUCACUUCCUUGACUGUCGGUGGGAAGAGAGAAAGUUUUCAAACAAUUCCAUAAUAUUGAGAAAGAAAGUCAAUUAGUCCAAUUUCCCCAAUGAUUGCACGCCAUUUUAAAGAUUUCAAGAACCGAACUCUCACCUUUGUCAACAUUUUUAAUCAUUUCUUCCUUGAGCCAUAUCCUAUCCACCCACCAGGUUUUAUUCAAACCGGUUUUUUGUCUUUGAGCACUUUUUUUUAGCAACAGACUAACAAAUAGAGGUGAAAGAUCACAAAUGAAUGGAAUAGCUAAAUGGUGAAAUAAAGAAAGAAUAAGAGAAAGUCAGAAGAUGCUGAUUCCAAGGCCUCUUUUGUUACAUAAACUGGGAAAGUUUGAAUGUUUGGACACUGCUGUGUUGCAAAGAAAGUGAGGGUUUUUUUUUCACAGCUCCAAGGUUGAAAGUGGAACUCUAAGCUAUUCCCAUCCAAGUUACACAAAGGCAUGUCAUUUUUGGAGAAGCUGGACUUUGAUCCUCUAUUGAGGCAAGCUGACACCAGGUGUUUUAACAAUCUUUGGGGUUUGAAGUUGCAGUGUGUUGCAAAGUUGAGAAAUGGGGGUGGCAUACAAAUUUUUGAAAACCUUGUAAACAUAGAUCUUUGACUCUCCCUCUCGUGAGUAAUGAUCAAACACUCGAAAGACUCAGGAAACAAGAAUUUCUAUCUCGAGCAAUGACCUAGGUCCAACUGACCAGCUACGGAAUUGAUGAUCUCCUGCUCUCACUGCAGUCAACAUCUCCGUGGUAUUUCCUGUGGUUUUCGCCGACAAUUUGAGGAAGUUACUUCAUUCCACUUCUGUAGUCUGGACCCUUGAUCCACAGAAAUUGUUCCUUUCUGCCUCAGUUUUUCAUUGUUAAUGUUGUGGCCAAACUGUCGACCUAGUCUGUCCUAAUUAUGGGUAUAUUUGGGAUUAAGGAGGAAACCGCUUAAAUUUCAUUAUGUUUAUUGUUCAUCUGUUUUGUCA